AGAGUUUGAUCAUGGCUCAGAACGAACGCUGGCCGUCGUUUUACAACAUGCAAGUCGAGCGAGAAAGCCACCUUCGGGUGGUGAGUAAAGCGGCGCACGGGUGAGUAACGCGUGGAUAAUCUACCUGUAGGCCUGGGAUAACUCCGGGAAACUGGAGCUAAUACCGGAUAAGACCACGGGGCCUUUGGGUCCUGCGGAAAAAGGUGGCCUCUUCUUGAAAGCUACCGCCUAUCGAUGAGUCCGCGUCCCAUUAGCUUGUUGGUGAGGUAAAGGCUCACCAAGGCUUCGAUGGGUAGCUGGUCUGAGAGGAUGAUCAGCCACACUGGAACUGAGACACGGUCCAGACUCCUGCGGGAGGCAGCAGUCGGGAAUUUUGGGCAAUGGGGGAAACCCUGACCCAGCAACGCCGCGUGAGGGAUGAAGGCCCUCGGGUCGUAAACCUCUGUCGGAAGGGAAGAAAGGUCUCCGUUCGAAUAAAGCGGGGGCUUGACGGUACCUUCAAAGGAAGCACCGGCUAACUCCGUGCCAGCAGCCGCGGUAAUACGGAGGGUGCAAGCGUUGUUCGGAAUUACUGGGCGUAAAGCGCGUGUAGGCGGCUUGGCAAGUCGAGCGUGAAAUCCCAGGGCUCAACCCUGGAACUGCACCCGAAACUGCCUGGCUAGAGUCCCGGAGAGUGUGGCGGAAUUUCCGGUGUAGAGGUGAAAUUCGUAGAUAUCGGAAGGAACACCAGUGGCGAAGGCGGCCACCUGGACGGUGACUGACGCUGAGACGCGAAAGUGUGGGGAGCAAACAGGAUUAGAUACCCUGGUAGUCCACACCGUAAACGUUGAGUGCUAGGCGUCGGGGGUAUUGACCCCUCCGGUGCCGGAGUUAACGCAUUAAGCACUCCGCCUGGGGAGUACGGCCGCAAGGCUAAAACUCAAAGGAAUUGACGGGGGCCCGCACAAGCGGUGGAGCAUGUGGCUUAAUUCGAAGCAACGCGCAGAACCUUACCUGGAUUUGACAUCUGGGGAACCUCCUGGAAACAGGAGGGUGCCUUCGGGAACCCCAAGACAGGUGCUGCAUGGCUGUCGUC
rnacentral:rRNA from 1 species